UAGGGAAUCUUCCUCAAUGGACGCAAGUCUGAUGGAGCAACGCCGCGUGAGUGAAGAAGGCUUUCGGGUCGUAAAACUCUGUUGUUGGAGAAGAAUGGUCGGCAGAGUAACUGUUGUCGGCGUGACGGUAUCCAACCAGAAAGCCACGGCUAACUACGUGCCAGCAGCCGCGGUAAUACGUAGGUGGCAAGCGUUAUCCGGAUUUAUUGGGCGUAAAGCGAGCGCAGGCGGUUUUUUAAGUCUGAUGUGAAAGCCCUCGGCUUAACCGAGGAAGUGCAUCGGAAACUGGGAAACUUGAGUGCAGAAGAGGACAGUGGAACUCCAUGUGUAGCGGUGAAAUGCGUAGAUAUAUGGAAGAACACCAGUGGCGAAGGCGGCUGUCUGGUCUGUAACUGACGCUGAGGCUCGAAAGCAUGGGUAGCGAACAGGAUUAGAUACCCUGGUAGUCCAUGCCGUAAACGAUGAAUGCUAGGUGUUGGA
rnacentral:rRNA from 1 species